AUUAUUUCUAAAGUAAUUUUGAGCUUCUUUUUGUUUAAACCUUUUAUUUACACCCCUAAUAUUCCAAAAGAUCCACUUCAUUGAGUAUUGCUAGUUUCCCCUUCAUCCAGGGGAUGAUCAGCCCACCUAACUGUCCCAACUUCAAAUCUGUUAGACAUCACAAGAGGAGAUAAGGGAGGGAAAUUAGCAAUGUUAAAGACUGGGGAGUCUUGAACAACCUGCUUCUCUCUGUUCCUAACAUCAGCUGUAGCUAUAGUGUUUGUCUCCUUAGUUACUUCUUGACACUGGAUGUGAGGCAUCUGGUUAUUUUGGACUACUAUGACUAGUGCUUUCACUCUCCAUUCUUGUGUCACCUUACUUUUCUGUGUAUGUUGAGCAGUUUUAGCCAAACAGUUGUGUCCAACCUCCAAACAUUUCUCACAAUACAUAGGUUUCCACUCAUAAAUCACAUCCUGUAUGAAACUCUUUCCAUUUGGAUCUAGAAUCUCUAUUUCACUAGGUAACUUUUUU
rnacentral:lncRNA from 1 species